AGAGUUUGAUCAUGGCUCAGAUUGAACGCUGGCGGCACGCCUAACACAUGCAAGUCGAGCGGUAGCAUGGUAAGUAGCAAUACUUAUGAUGACGAGCGGCGGACGGGUGAGGAACACGUAGGAACCUGCCCUUUAGCGGGGGACAACCAAGGGAAACUUUGGCUAAUACCGCGUAAUCUCGAAAGAGGAAAGCUGCCCGCAAGGGUGGCGUAAAGGAGGGGCCUGCGUCCGAUUAGCUAGUUGGUGAGGUAAGAGCUCACCAAGGCGAUGAUCGGUAACUGGUCUUAGAGGACGACCAGUCACACUGGGACUGAGACACGGCCCAGACUCCUACGGGAGGCAGCAGUGGGGAAUCUUGGACAAUGGGGGCAACCCUGAUCCAGCGAUGCCGCGUGAGUGAAGAAGGCCUUCGGGUCGUAAAGCUCUUUAGGUUGGGAAGAAGGUUGUUAGUUUAAGAGAUAAACAAUUUGACUGUACCAACAGAAUAAGCACCGGCAAACUCUGUGCCAGCAGCCGCGGUAAUAC
rnacentral:rRNA from 1 species